rnacentral:rRNA from 1 species
UACGAAGGGGGCUAGCGUUGCUCGGAACCACUGGGCGUAAAGGGUGCGUAGGCGGGUCUUUAAGUCAGGGGUGAAAUCCUGGAGCUCAACUCCAGAACUGCCUUUGAUACUGAGGAUCUUGAGUCCGGGAGAGGUGAGUGGAACUGCGAGUGUAGAGGUGAAAUUCGUAGAUAUUCGCAAGAACACCAGUGGCGAAGGCGGCUCACUGGCCCGGUACUGACGCUGAGGCACGAAAGCGUGGGGAGCAAACAGG